GAAGAGUAUACACGGUGCCCUGCGCACACCCGUACAUCGACAAGCGCACGACGCGUUGCAGCGUCGAACGCCUAUCCUGGCGUCUUUUCCACUCCGACAAGGACGCCCAUGGCUUAGCGAGGAGGCCGCCAUUCUUAUCUCAAUACUUCUUCAGCCUGCACGGGGUGAGGUGGAAAAUCAACGUCUAGCGCUCCGUCAUUCCACCAACCCCCUCUCACAACAUCUUCUCAAGCGACCUCAGCGAGAAGAUGCUGCGCGCGGUGGGCGGGCUCGCUGCGGCGGCUGCAGUCGGCGCAGCAGCCUACACCACCUAUCAGCAAGGGAAUGAGCGACUGGUGCAGGAGCAGAUAAGGCUGCUGAUGACGAAGGAGAGAGAAGAGAAAGGAAGGGAAGAGAAACACGGGUGCAGUGGAAAAGAGGCUGCUGGCCCCCUCUGACGCACGCCACCUCUCCAUCUCUCCGCUUUUCUUGCGCACAGGCUUGCCCUUCACCCCCUACCCCCACCCUUCUUUGUGAGACAAGCAAGCAAAGAAGCCAAAACACGGAACGUGGCGCGAGGCCGAUGAUACGUGAAGGAACGUGGGGAAGAAGGGCGUGUUCGUCCAACUUAACCCUCUCUCUCCGUCGCAAGGCCAGAAGGUGGUGGGCGAGGCUGCAUGGACGGGC
rnacentral:misc_RNA from 1 species